rnacentral:rRNA from 1 species
UAGAGUUUGAAUCCUGGCUCAGGACGAAACGCUGGCGGGCGUGCUUAACACAUGCAAGUCGAACGAUGAACCACUUCGGUGGGGAUUAGUGGCGAACGGGUGAGUAACACGUGGGCAAUCUGCCCUGCACUCUGGGACAAGCCCUGGAAACGGGGUCUAAUACCGGAUACUGAUCAUCUUGGGCAUCCUUGGUGAUCGAAAGCUCCGGCGGUGCAGGAUGAGCCCGCGGCCUAUCAGCUUGUUGGUGAGGUAAUGGCUCACCAAGGCGACGACGGGUAGCCGGCCUGAGAGGGCGACCGGCCACACUGGGACUGAGACACGGCCCAGACUCCUACGGGAGGCAGCAGUGGGGAAUAUUGCACAAUGGGCGAAAGCCUGAUGCAGCGACGCCGCGUGAGGGAUGACGGCCUUCGGGUUGUAAACCUCUUUCAGCAGGGAAGAAGCGAAAGUGACGGUACCUGCAGAAGAAGCGCCGGCUAACUACGUGCCAGCAGCCGCGGUAAUACGUAGGGCGCGAGCGUUGUCCGGAAUUAUUGGGCGUAAAGAGCUCGUAGGCGGCUUGUCGCGUCGGUUGUGAAAGCCCGGGGCUUAACCCCGGGUCUGCAGUCGAUACGGGCAGGCUAGAGUUCGGUAGGGGAGAUCGGAAUUCCUGGUGUAGCGGUGAAAUGCGCAGAGAUCAGGAGGAACACCGGUGGCGAAGGCGGAUCUCUGGGCCGAUACUGACGCUGAGGAGCGAAAGCGUUCUAUUGUCAGAUUAGAUACCCUGGUAGUCCACGCC